rnacentral:rRNA from 1 species
UACGGAGGGGGCUAGCGUUGUUCGGAAUUACUGGGCGUAAAGCGCACGUAGGCGGCUUUGCAAGUUAGAGGUGAAAGCCCGGGGCUCAACUCCGGAAUUGCCUUUAAAACUGCAUCGCUAGAAUUGUGGAGAGGUAAGUGGAAUUCCGAGUGUAGAGGUGAAAUUCGUAGAGAUCCGGAGGAACACCAGUGGCGAAGGCGACACGCUGGGCCGUACCUGACGCUAAAGCGCGACAGCAUGGGGAGCGAACGGG